AUCCGGCUGAAGAGUCCCAAAAAGGACGAAACAUGUGUCAUAAUGGAU
rnacentral:hammerhead_ribozyme from 1 species